UUCACACCAUGCACGAGCAAUACAAACCCCCGAUUAAGAGCAGUUUUGCGGCCACAUUGUUUGUAGAUGCUUUCCUGGUUCCCCAUCACACUUGUAUCCAUCCGUCUUCACUGUAGAGGUCCGGCCGUUUUAAUAUCUGAACGAGCUUCUGUCUGUACUGAGGUGCCACAAUCUCAGUACUUUUGACGUGAAUUGUGUUGUCCUUCAAAUAAAACAUCCCGAACUUGAACUGCGCCAUUGUAAGUAACUCAACUGCGACAACGGUUCCCUCAGCAAUCAGCAUCUACAUCUGCAAGCAGAUUGCAUUCGGGGGUAACCAAUCAGCGGCAGCACAGCGCCACGAAUACGUGCGCACGCAUGCGCACGUAUCAGUAAUAAGGUAAAGUAAAUCACCAUGGAUGUAUUUUACCGGGCUUAGAGAAAAACUGUAAAACCGCCCGCAGACAUGGCACCCAAAAGACAUUACAAAGAAUAUCUGCUGGAUGAGUCGAGCCAACCUUCAAAGGCAACCAAAUACAGACGGCUAGCAAACAAGAAAGAGAAUACUUUAAACUGCAGAGGGAAUUACAAGAAUUACCUCAGGGCAUCCUGUACAACUAACAAUAAAGAGGUUGUGAAAGAGAUUCCACUUUCAAAUAACGGUGAAAGAACAUAUUCUCUGGAGGAAUAUCCAGGAGAAAAUCCCACAACUAACAAACAGAAUGUUCCCGAUGAGGGCCUUGUUGCAGAAGGACCAAGCGAUCAGUCAUCUUUAGAAUGUUUGAGAGGAAAGCAUCUUGUCAGUCCAAUAAGAGAGCACCUGCUUCAGGACAGACCCAACAGAGAUUCAUCAGAGCCUGCCGGAGAGGGAGUCUCCAGAAAGACCCACCCAGUGCUAGAAUUGCCACCCUCCACCUACUCACACCGCACUUUUCAAUUUUGUGGGGAUCAACAAGAUAUGCAAAUCGGACCAGAAGCACAGGACAUGUUAGAGAAGCAACCAGGAUCCAAUGUGCCUGCUACUCCACCUCAUCAGCAAGAGACACCAAACCAACAGGCAGAGACAUUUUUGUUGGAUGGAGCUGAUCCAGCGUAUCCUGGAGCUCCACUGACAAAGGGACAAAGUUUAAUCUUACUGAUGUCUUAUGUACUAAGGCACAAUGUGACAGAUAUACAGUGUGGAGAAGAGUACCAGAAACUCAAAGAAUCAGGUGAAUUAGGUGAGGAUGACAUAACUUUAAUUUGGAACUGUGAUGGAAUUCCAGUUUUCAGGAGUUCAAAGUAUCAAAUCUGGCCCAUUCAGUGCCAGGUUAUAGAACUCGAACCUAAAGAACGCAAGGCAAAUAUCUGUCUUCCUUGUCUCUGGUUUGGCGAGAAGAAGCAAAACUUCUUAACAUUUUUGAAGCCAUUUGUUAAAGUGUGUAUUGUAAGUUAAUGUUUUUAAAAAUAUUUAUACAUAACAUUCUCUGAAAAUUGCUCUUUGAAAUUAAAAUGCAGGAUUU
ensembl:lncRNA